rnacentral:rRNA from 1 species
GCUUACGGCCCAUACCAGCC